UGUUUCAUUUAAAAUUUAGUUAGAAUUUUAUUUUUUAGUUAAAAAGCUAAAAUAUAUUCAAAAGACGAGAAGACCCUAUAAAUCUUGAUUAUUUAGUAAUUUUUAGUUUAUUUUGAUUUUUUUUAUUAUAAAUUUAUUAAUUAAUUUUAUUGGGGUGAUAUUAAAAUUUAAAUAACUUUUAAUAAUUUUUAUCAUUUAUUUAUGAUUAAGUGAUCCAUUAUUAGUGAUUAGAAAAUUAAGUUACUUUAGGGAUAACAGCGUAAUUUUUUUGGAGAGUUCUUAUCGAUAAAAAAGUUUGCGACCUCGAUGUUGGAUUAAGAUUCAUAUUUAAAUGUAGAAGUUUAAAUAUAAAGUCUGUUCGACUUUUUAUUCUUACAUGAUCUGAGUUCAAACCGGUGUAAGCCAGGUUGGUUUCUAUCUUUGAUUUGGUAAAAUAUUUUAGUACGAAAGGAAUUAAUAUUUAU
rnacentral:rRNA from 1 species